GGCUCUGUGGCGCAAUGGAUAGCGCAUUAGACUUCUAGAUAAAGAAAAGUAUUUAAAGGUUGUGGGUUCAAGUCCCACCAGAGUCA
rnacentral:tRNA from 1 species